UUUCAUGAGUCAACUAGACCUAGAAAAAUUCUUUAAAGAAAAUAACAAAGCCAAUCUACCUAGCAUAUUCUCACUUGCAAAGAAAAAAGUCUACCAAAAAUAUUUAAUGUUUCAUUAACUGUAUGAAGCAAAAUCAUUAAAAUAAUACAAGAGUUAAACACAACAAAUCAA